rnacentral:rRNA from 1 species
CAUGCAAGUCGAACGAGAUCUUCGGAUCUAGUGGCGCACGGGUGAGUAACGCGUGGGAACCUACCUUUUAGUACGGGACAACGUUUGGAAACGAACGCUAAUACCGUAUACGCCCUCCGGGGGAAAGGUCAGCCGCUAAAAGAGGGGCCCGCGUCUGAUUAGCUUGUUGGUAAGGUAAUGGCUUACCAAGGCUUCGAUCAGUAGCUGGUCUGAGAGGAUGAUCAGCCACACUGGGACUGAGACACGGCCCAGACUCCUACGGGAGGCAGCAGUGGGGAAUAUUGGACAAUGGAGGCAACUCUGAUCCAGCAAUGCCGCGUGUGUGAUGAAGGCCCUAGGGUUGUAAAGCACUUUCAACGGUGAAGAUGAUGACGGUAGCCGUAGAAGAAGCCCCGGCUAACUUCG